GCCCUUAUUGAUGUGAAAAUUACUUGACACACAAAUUAAACCUUAUUGAUGACAAUUGUAGCAAAGAUGUAAGUAGGGAUCGUUCUAAACCAAGGAUUAACUAGGGUUGCUAAUCUACUCAAAUUAAACUCUAAAGCACUAAACUAGACUUAAAACACAAGAAUAGACUCUAAACUGACCUAAGACACUUAAAUCUGCAAAACUAGGUAAAAAAAACUCAAUUCUAAACCUAACAAGUGAUUUGGACGAAAAUAAAACUCAAUUUUGACUCAAAAGACUAAAGAAAAACAGAUUAUGACUUAACUAACCCAAAACACACUUAAAAGACUCAAAACAGCACAAUACUAACAAUUAGACUCAAAACAGACUCUAGGGAAUAAAUUGGACGAAUUUUAAGACUAAAUUUAGACUCAAACAACGUUUAUGGACUAACUCUAACCUAUAUUAACUCAAAACACUCUAAAGAACUUAAUUAGGACAGAUUCUAACCUAAAAACACAAAAUAGAAAAGGGGGUUUGGUUUUUUAUGAAAUAGAAUUACAACUAAACAAAUUGCAAAACAAAGUAAACUAAAACGAAAUUGAGAUGAAUUCAAGGGUGAAAGGCUAGUUAGAGGAUCCUUCUCCACACAUGAACAUAUGCAACAUAAAUCGAUUUUCAGUAUUGUUUCUUUAAACCAUGAAUGACAAUGCCCCAAAUUAAUUCUGAAUGCACAAAUUAACUCUCAGAUUUCCCUAGAUUCAUUGAAUUGGAUGAAUACAUGCGACAACCCAAAUUAUUCUUCUCAAGUUCCCUAUAUGAACAACAUGAUAGAGAGACAUUCAAAGAUCAUUAAGUUCCAUGGAAAUCAUAAGCAUUGACAAGGCAAUUAUAACUAUGAACUGCAUUAUACUCUUGCCAAGAAUCUACUUAACAUGAUUGUGACUAACAAUCUCCACUACUUGUAAUUAUGAGUUCCUAACGAUUAGGUGAAAGUCCCAUAUAAUUUAGCAUCAGAUUCAUGCAUGCAAACUAAGUAGGCCUCCUUAAUCAACACACAAGAAUAAGUUAUCAAUCAAAUAGAUAAGUAAAUCGCAUUCAUGUUUUAUGAAACAAUAACUGAAAGGAAUCAAUUCAUAUUAAACAUAUGUCCAUGGCUUCGAAUUCACCACUAACUAAUAUGAAUUUAGUUACACAUGUUCCUAGCAAUUAAAAAGCAAAUUGAAAUAAACAUUGAAACUGAAACGAGGGAAGAAAGAACUCUUAGAACUCCCAAAGAUGCAGAUGGCUUGUGCAAAAGGUCCUCCUUCAUCAAUGGAAUGCACGGCAAUGAUCUCCUUCUUCUCCAAAAGGUGCGGCAGAGAUAUAUGUUGAUGUAGGAUGAUGUAGAAUGGUGUAGAAUGAUGUAUAUGGUGUGGCAAAGUGUAUUUCUGAAUGGUAUGAAGGGUGGUGACGAAUUCGUGCUGAAAACAUGUAUAUAAAGGCUUGGCAAAACCGUAGGGUGAAUCAGAUUAGGGUUAGAAAUCAGCACACUAAGAGAAUUAGGGCCCUAGGGUUCGGCACAAUUAAUGAAAUCCACUAAGGAAAGGGUUUGACCUAAUUAAUUUCAGAAAAGGAUUUGUAUAACCCAAAUCCACAAGGAAUAAGGCUAAUAUAAUCAGAAUCCAAGGGGAAUUGGGUGAAGAAUGGUGUGGCACAUAUUGGAGGGAGUGGGAAUUGCUUCCAAGGCAAGGCAAAAGCCUUCUAGAAAGGAAAUAGGCACCACUUUUGUAGGGAUUCUAGAAACAAUGUGUUUUGUGGCUGAUUUGGGACUUCUAGAAGGGAAUGCUUCUAGAAAUAGGUUCUAGAAAUAUAUAUUUAGGUCCCUUUCUAGCUAGGAUUAAGGCAUGAUAAGAUUAGGAUAGGAUAAGAUAAUAUGAGGUUAGUGUGGAUAAGAUAAGGUUAGAUAAGGUUGUGGAUAAUGUUUCCUCUUUUGAGCUGAUUCCUUAUCUUUUUUGUCUUGAAUUUAAUUUCUUCAUAUCCUUAUUAGAUUCCUAGCCUUUUGAACUCCAAAUUCAUCCAUCCAUCUUGGUCCAUACAUGUGCUAUCCAUUUAGUGCCCAAAACUGCUCCAAAAUGCACUUUCUUGCCAACUUUGUCAUUUGGACCUACAAACACACAAAAAUAGCUUAAAACACUAUAAUAAUCGCAAACUAACUAUAAAAGUGCAAGAAAACAAGCUAACUAAGUGGCAUAAAUAUGCUCCUAUCAAAUUCCCCCACACUUAGCUUUUGCUAGUCCUUGAGCAAAACAAAGGAAACAAAACAAACAAAACAUAACCUAACCUUCCAACAUUCGCCUCAGGGAUUUCCAAUGGAACAUGACACAUUAAAAAUCACUACUCACAUAGAUUUUAGUUAUCCUUACCAUCGAGCACAUACAUAAUCACAGUCAUCACUCACUAGCUCGCAUUUAAUCAAUUAAAACAAUGUUUCUGAAUGUAGUAACAUGCCUUAGAGAAUUCCCUCAAUUCCUCACUGAAUAUACACUCUAUUUUCACACAGAUUUUCUGACUACACUCCCUAUACAAGGUAUAUGUGAGAAGAUUGAUGUAAACAUGAAAACUAACACUCACAUAUGUUAUCAUCAAAGAAAGCAAUUUCUGGAGUUAUUAACAUAAACACGUAUAUGAUCUCAUGAAUGGAAUGCCAUUACUUAGACGCGAGAACUAGGGAUACCAUAUGCUCAUACCAAUCCCAAACUCCACAGAUUGAAACACACAACAACCAAGAUUGAAGUCUAAGGGUUGUAACGGGGCUAAUGGUAUUGGCUAACAAAGAAAGGUUAAGGAUAAACAAAGGUUCUUGAAGCAAUCGUAAGCAAAGUAAUGAAAUCAACUUAGAAUUCACUCUUGAAUGCAGCAAAUAACUUGAAACACUAAAGGGAUUUCGUACAACUUAGGGUCAUAUUCAAACUUUUUGGACCCUUUCUUCAACAACCAAUACUUGUGAGCUCAUUCUCACUUAUUUUCAACUCUUUUUUUUUCUUUAUACCCGUGUACAUAUCCUUCCCCCACAUUUGAUUUCUGCAAUAUGUUUGAUCAAAACGAAUUCAAUCUAAGUCAUGCUCCACUAUACUUUAAGAACAAGGGUAUGGAUAGUCCUAUUCUAGGCUAGGUUGGGAUAAUGUGGCUAACAAAGAAAAUAGGCUAAAUAAGGCUCAAAAAGGGGUUAAACCUACAAAACAAAUGCAUAGGAUGAAGGCUUUUUAGCUUUGGUGGUAACUACUAAACAACUUCAUCUUGUUAUAUGUUAUGCACUCAAUUUUAAGUUUUGAAUGAAACGGGCAUGAGUUAUAGUAUUUGGAACUAAAGUGAUAAAAUGCAUUCCAAGUAGCAACCAAGCAAAGAAUAAUGAGAUCAUGCAACGACUUUAGAAAACAAGAAAUCACAAAUUAAUAACUCUUUAAAUAGAGUUGGGGCUCAAGUCUCUCAGGGUUGUACCGUUAGUUUGAGUUCCUUCCUUCAAGCACGUUACAAAAACUGAUUUUUUCCUUUUUGAUUACAUGUGAAGUCGUAAACGUUAACUACAACCAAGCAUAAACCAAAGAGUAUAUCAAACUUCCAUCCAUGUUUGUAACUUUCUUUAACAGUCAUGCAAUUAAAAAUCAAAUCCUCAUCAUUGUGUUGGAAGGUACCCUAAGACACAAACACACAAAAACAACUUUUUUUGGGUUUUUCAAAACUUUUUCUACUUUUAUUUUUUUUUCAAAUUUUCGUAUUUUCUGUCAAAGACACACUAAAACACUCCAAAACACUUAAAAACAAUGAAAAACAACUUUAGUUAUGCUAGGUGGUAAAAUCCUUCAAAUUUGCAAUAAAAACACUUGUUUACUCUCCCACACUUAAACCAAACAUUGUCCUCAAUGUUUUAAACAUAGACUCACACAUAAACAAGCAAACAACAUAACUAACAAACACGACUAUCAUGGCAAAGUAAAACCAAGAAAGAUUAGAGUUUAGGAACGCAAAUCUGGUUAUGGAGCUUAAAUUCCUUCAAUCCCUCGUUUGAACGCAUGGGUUGCCUCCCAAAAAGCGCUUGCUUUAACGUCUUCCAGCCGGACGAUACCUCCAUUUAAGCUUGAAUAGGGCCCACGGCAUGGAGGGGUAUGUCCUCCACGGCAUGCUCCUUAAAUGUCUCAUAGUAGGGCUUCAAACGAUGUCCAUUGACCUUGAAUUCAUGUCCCGUCUUUAAACUUUGAAUUUGGACAGCACCAUGAGGAAAAACAUUAGUAAUAACAAAAGGUCCAAUCCAUUUAGAACGUAACUUACCCGGAAACAACCAAAGACGGGAAUUGAAGAGUAACACUUUCUGCCCUAUGGAGAAUGUCCUGCCACAAAUCAUCUUGUCAUGGCUGGCCUUUGUUUUCUCCUUGUAAAUGAGAGCGUUCUCAUAAGCUUCAUUCUUAAUCUCCUCAAGCUCAUUCAAUUGCAAUUUUCUAUGGAUCUCAGCAGCAUCUAUGUCCAUAUUGAAUGUUUUGACGGCCCAAUGUGCACGAUGCUCUAACUUAACCGGAAGAUGACAUGGUUUCCCAUAGAUGAGCCGAAAUGGGAACAUCCCAAUUGGUGUUUUGUAGGCCAUUCUAUAUGCCCACAAUGCAUCAUUCAAACGCAAGCUCCAAUCUUUUCGAGUUGGUCCAACCGUCUUCUCCAAAAUCUGCUUAAUUUCCUUAUUCGAAACCUCGGCUUGCCCACUUGUUUGGGGAUGAUAAGGUGUUGAAACCUUAUGCGUGACAUUAUACUUCUUGAGCAGCACCUCAAUGGUUCGAUUACAAAAAUGGGACCCUCCAUCACUAAUUAGUACUCUUGGCCUUCCAAACCUUGCAAAUAUGUUAGUUUUAAUAAAAUCUGCAACCACUUUAGAAUCAUUAGUAAGGGUGGCCUUUACUUCUACCCAUUUUGACGCAUAAUCCACAACAAGUAAUAUAUAAAGAAAACCAUGUGAGGACGGAAAAGGACCAAUGAAAUCUAUACCCCAAACAUAAAAAAUCUCAACAGAAUGUAUAGGGUGUUGCGGCAUUUGGUCUCUUGAUGUUAUAUUACCCAUUCUUUGACAAUGAUCACAGGUUAUACAAAAGGUUCUAGCAUCUCUAGAAAUAGUAGGCCAAUAAAAUCCACAUUCUAAAACCUUAUGUGCUGAACGUUAUGUGCCAAAAUGACCCCCGCAUGCAUAAGUGUGACAAAAAGUUAAAAUCGAAUGAAACUCGGAAUCAUGCACACACCUACGUAGAAUAUGAUCAGGGCAAUGUUUCCACAAAAAAAAGGUCAUCCCAAACAUACAACCAUGCAUCUUUCUUGAGUUUAUCACAUUGGUGCUUAUUUAGGGUGCUUGGUACAUGCUUAGUGACCAAAUAAUUAACUAGACCGGCAUACCAUGGCUCACUUACCUUAAUAGACAGCAGCUGCUCAUCUGGGAAUGUCUCUGGGAUGGGCAUGGCAUUGGGAUCUUCUUCAUGCACCAUUCGGCUCAAAUGGUCAGCCACCACAUUUUCACUUCCUUUGUUGUCCCAGAUUUCCACGUCAAACUCUUGGAGAAGUAACAUCCAACGAAUAAGCCUUGGCUUGGCCUCCUUCUUUGUGAGCAAGUACUUCAUAGUUGCAUGAUCAGUGUAAAUAAUAACUUUAGUUCCAAGAAGAUAUGAACGAAACUUAUCUAAAGCAAAUACAACAGUAAGAAGUUCUUUUUCAAUGGUGGAAUAAUUCAAUUGUGCAUCAUUCAAGGUCCGGGAUGCAUAGUAGAUGACGUGUGGCUUUUUGUCCCUCAUUUGUCCUAAAACAACCCCUAAUGCAUAAUCUGAGGCAUCGCAUAUAAGCUCAAAGGGAAGGCUCCAAUCUGGUGGGACUAUGAUGGGGGCUGAAGUUAGCUUUUCUUUGAGGUGAUUGAACGCCUUCUCACACUCAUCAUCGAACUUGAAUGUGACAUCCUUUUGAAGAAGUCAGCAAAGGGGUUGGGAAAUCUUGGAAAAUCUUUGAUGAACCGCCUAUAGAAUCCUGCAUGUCCAAGAAAAGAACGAACUUCUCUCACUGAAUUGGGAGAGGGUAAGUAGCGUACAAGAUCUUUUUUUUAUUUAUCAACCUCUAUUCCCUUUGCAGAAACUAUGUGACCUAAAACUAUGCCUUGUUUAACCAUAAAGUGACAUUUUUCCCAAUUCAAAACAAGGUUAGUUUCAAUGCACCGGUUUAAGAUUAAAGUGAGAUUAUCUAAACAACCAUGAAACGAAUCGCCAAAGACACUAAAAUCAUCCACGAAAACCUCAAUGAUCUUUUCCACAAAAUCUGAGAAUAUACUUACCAUGCAUCGUUGGAAUAUGGCUGGUGCAUUACCAACCCGAACGACAUUCGACGAUAAGCAAAAGUGCCAAAUGGACAAGUAAAAGUAGUCUUUUCUUGAUCAUCUAAAGCUAUAACAAUUUGAUUAUAUCCCGAAUAACCAUCUAGAAAGAAAUAAAAAGAAUGACCGGUGUGGAGCCAAAAAUAUUCACAAGGCGACACGUGGAUUUUUGGACAAAAAGGACAAAAAUACCCUUGCAGUACAACGAGGUUCCUACACGCAAGCAGCGGGCAACCCUCUUUCAACCAAGACAGAAGUGCCCAAAAUAGGUAACAAUUCAAAGUCCAUCUCAUCAAAUCCUUUCUACAAGGUAAUUCUCAAACACAUUCCUUUUAAAUUAUGUUAAUUGGCUAAUUAAUGGGUUUAUUGCCUAAUUAACCCAUUAAUUGUCAAUUAAACCAUCCAUUAUAUCCAAAUAACCACAAAAUACAUCCAAUUCAACCCUAAAACACCACAUGGCCGGCUAUCCCCAUUCAAAACCUAAUCCAUCACUUUUUCUACCUUUUUUCACCAUUUCUUCCUUUUUAUUAGCCAAUUAAUUCCAUAACCAAAAAAUAUUUCCUUUUAUGUUUAAUUAGCCAAUUAAUUGGCUAAUUAAACCAAAAUAAAACCUAAACCAACCUAGCCCUAUAAAUAGGCUCAUAUUUUCACCAAAUAUUCAUUCCAACACUUUGGCAAAAAUCCCAAAAUUCUCUAAACACUAUUUCUCUCUAAAUUCUAACUUUGGCAUUGGAGGUCCUUCGGCCAAAGCCCCCCCCCCCAUUCAUCGUGGGCGCGUGAGGCUCUUGGCCUUAACCUAAGGUGUUAAUUGUUUUGUAGGUGCAAAAUUGUCCAAGAUCAAGGAGGAAGAAAUUUGCAUCCACAAAUUGGUGCUUUCAUUGAGAGUUGAAAUCCAUACUCGUAGAAGACUCUCGCACAAAAAGGUUUUUCUUUAUUUUCUAGUCCAUUUGAAUAUUUUUCAUACGUUUUUAUUAUUACAAUUUUUUACUUGCAAAGGUUCUUUGAUAAAACGUAUAAGGAAAAUAUAAUGGCUAGAAAUUUAGAAAUUCCACAAGUGAAAAUUCUAAUAUUCAAGAAAUGGGAUUGCGGAGAUCCGUGAGGCUAAAUGCGACAAUAAGUGGAGCACCACCACCACCACGAGUUUCCACCAUGGGAACCACCACGGUGGCUACCGAGGUAGCCACCUGUGGCGAGGUCCAUGGUGCCUUCACCACGGCUCGAGCCGUGCCAUCCAAGGCCACGGCCCAAGUCGUGCCAUCCAAGUUUGCACGGGCCCAAGCCCAAGCCUCGCAUUCGCUUGCAUCACAUUCUAAGCAGGCUGCUCCCGCCAAGCAACCUGCUCUCGUAACCUAGCCUGUUCCUGACAACCAACCCGCUCCCGUGGCCCAGCCUGCUCCUGCCAAGCAACUUGCUCUCGCGGCCCAGCCUGUUCUCGUGACCAGCCUGCUCUCGACAAGUAGCCCACUCCCGUGGUCCAGCCUGCUUCCGUCGAGCAACCCACUCUCGUGGCCCAACCUGCUCCUCCUAAACAGCCUGCUCUCGUGACCCAGCCUACUUCCGACGAGCAGCCCACUCCCAUUGUCCAGCCAACUCCAGUCGAGCAGCCCACUUCCGUGGCCCAGCCAGUUCCAGUUGAGCAGCCCACUUUCACGGCCCAGCCUACUCUCGUGGCUUUCCAAGCAGCCCAAAUCGGCCCAAGACUAUCUCAACCAUCUGGACCUAGCAUCGAGCCGGGGGCAUUCUCACCAUAUUGUUUCGCGGAUUUGACAUUUCUAACUCAUAUCUCGCGCCCGGAGUCUACCACUCUUCCACUGCCCAAUGACGCGCAUUCCUUCCAAGCUUUUCCAAUCUAAAUGGCGAACAACACUUGUCUCGACAAGUCAUAGAGUUGACGAGCGCCCUUGCACAACAGACAACCUUGGUGAAUCAACUUUUGCAACGCAUCGGGAUCCAACGUGCCUCGGACAAGGUAUCCCGAAGUAGGACAAGGGCAGACAGACCUUUCCAGCAGCGUCCCGGCAAGCAGCCACUCGACCAGCCACGAGUCGAACGUUUGGGCAGUGUACGUUCCCGUCUUAGCGUGCGGAGAAGCAUGCACUCUCGACUAGGGCCACAGAUGAGCAUACAUUCACGGUUGGGGUCAUAUUCUGAUAGUUAACAUGAGCAACCUUCUGGGCAAAGUGUCCAUUCGCGGCUAAGCCCACAAGGAGCAUCAUCCACCUCACAUCAGAGUAGGCAGCACGACGGAAUGAGAGAAGCAGUCACUCAAUCCCGCUCAAGUUCAACCAGCAACCUGCGAAGAACUCGCUCGCCUGCUAGGAACUCACCACAUGCACUGCAUCCGCGACAUAGAUGAGCCAAACACAUGGAAGAGCAGCCUAGACCAGCAAGUCAUGGCUGGGGGCAGCCGAGAGCUCCGUUACCCCAACAAAGGUAAAUUCAGGAAGAAGUAGAGAGACUAUUAACCAAGCGAUUGCAUGAUUUCCAACGCAACGAGGUCACCGACGAGGCACUACGACGGAACAUGACCAAUAUAAGCAGGUCACCCUUCACGGACGAGAUCGAGCAGGUAGAGCCUCCACGCGAGUUCAACAUGCCACAUUUCACAUCUUUCAAAGGGGAUGAAGACCCGGAGAGAACUUAAAGCGCUACUGAACCACAAUGAUCCUUUAUCGAAACAACGAUGAUCUCAUGUGCAAGAUAUUCGCCACCACUCUACAAGGCGAGGCGCAAGAUUGGUUCUACACCCUGCCGCCACAAUCUAUCCAGAAUUUUUACGAACUUUCUUUGGUUUUCACCAAAGAAUAUUCAUCUUAUCGCUCGAUCAAAAAGAAGUCUGACCAUUUGUUCGACGUCAAGAAGAACCUAAAAGAGUCGCUUCGCGACUAUGUGAGGAGGUUCAAAGUAGAGAAGGCAAAAAUAGUCGGAUGCAACGACUCGAUAGCUAGAGCAGCCUUCCAAAAAGGACUUCCAGCAGACCACCCGCUAUUCGGAAAAUUGAUCAUGAAAGAAGAUCUAACUCUGGCAGACUCUUUUGCUUUGGCAGAGAAGCAUGCACUUUGGGAUGAGGCUCGCCAAUGCACAUUCAAGGACUUGAAGAAGUACCCGACAUCACCUCCCUAGAAGCAGCGGAGGACUUAUUCGCAUGUUUGACGAUAUCUAAAGUAGCAAUAAGCUCUACCAUCAUGCGAGAAGAGAUGGGGGCCCGACUACCUGGAUUCUACAGUUCAUAAGCUCUCCUCGAUGUUAUUAAAAAUUUAAAAGCUAACUGUGGUGAUAAUUGUUGUAACCCAAAAGCUUAAGUUUUACCUUCAAACGCAAGCAGUCAUCAUCAUGACGCACUAUUCCGCCGAAUCCAAACCGGGGACGAUAAAGGCAUAGACUCUGGCAAAUGCAAAGUUUUCUGACGAACGCAACAACUUAGCCCAACGAUGCCCCGAAGGCAGCCGAGCACACUUUAGCCACACCUGCUCCCUCAAUGGAGAUUUCUGGCGUUUGCAUGUCGACGGCGCAUCCAACUAUGAAGGCUCGUGAGCAGCCGUGGUUCUUGCCACCCCAAACGUUUCAAUGCUCAAGCAUGCGAUCACUCUAAGCUUCCAAGCAUCUAACAACGAAGCAAAGUACGAAGCCCCACUAGCAGGCCUUCGAAUGACAAAAUACUUGGUGGUGAAAAAGCUUUCCAUUCAUUCCGAGUCCUAGCUAAUCACCAGCUAGACUACCAGGGGCAAAUGCAUGAUGAUCAUGGCAACCGACUACUUUACCAAAUAAGUAGAAGCAGAGCCCAUGACGAUCAUGGUUCAAACGGACAUAGAGCGCUUCAUAUGAAGAAGUAUCAUUUGUCGAUUUGGCAUUCCUUAAUCCAUUGUCACCGACAACGGCCCGGAAUUCGUGGGCAAAGAUUUGGCGAAGUUCUUCAAAAAAUAUGGCAUCAAGCAGCACAUGUCUACGCCAAGAUAUCCUCAAGGCAAUAGGCGGGCUAAAGCAUCCACUAAGAUAAUCCUCGAUUGCAGCAAGAAAUCCCCUACCAAUAAGAAAAGAAAAGGAUGUCUAUGGGCAUAUCACACAACCAAAAGACGAGCAACCGAAAGGAGAUGGCCACAAGCUUAAAUCUAGUAGAAAAGAGGCGCGAACAGACUAUCACUCGCAUUGCAGCCUACCAGCAUCAACUUCUCUCAAGCUACAACAAAAGGGCCAAGAUCCAGCAGUUUCAGCCCGGAGAUCUGGUCAUAAGAAAAACCUUCAUCACUGCCAGCAGAAAAGGCUCUAAAAAUAUGGAUCCUAUCUGGGAAAGUCCGUACAAGAUCAGUAAAGUAUGUGGUAAGAACAAUUACACCCUCGCCACCAUAAAAUGACAAAAAGAUCGAAAAAUAGUGGAACGCUUACAAUAUGAGGAAGUACCAUGUGUGACCUCUCGCUACAUCAAAGCCUGAAGACUCAAGCAGCUCGACGGGCACUACCUCACCAGCCGAGAAUUAUCCAGUUGUUAUGCAGUUCUUACCUUACAUCUAAGUUCUCGUUCGUUUAACUUGUUUUUUAAAGAGGAAUUCAGAAGUAAUCACGACUUGGCUUGGCUGCAUGCUUACAACAACUGAUCACUCCUGUACUUCAAAAGAAGACCGUGCCCUUCUUAGGGACUUACCGCAGGAAUUGCGCCCCCCGAGGGACCAACCAUGCUCUCCAGUGCGAGAGGGUAAACUAAUUGCUCUCCAACGCGAGAGGGUAAACCAAUUCCCCGACACCCACAUGGGUCAGCUCUCCAAGAACGGGAGGAUAAACUCUACACUCUGAAUAUCCAGACGUGGAUGAGCCGGGCUGCCCUAGUAUAACUAGAUGCACGAUGGCUUGCGUCGAGAUUCCUAGAAGUAGCCGCAAUGGUCUUUUUCAAGGCUUAGCUAACUGAAGGAUUUUGGGUCUCUUGGCCUAAUCCGUGGGGAACCGGGCCCUAGAGACGGAGAGGGCACAUUACGCAGUACAUCCGAUGGACGGCUGCCCUGGAAUCCCAAAGCUGCUACGGAGUGGACUAAGGUAGUCUACGGAUUCCGAAAGACUGCCUACGGCUUGCCCUUCGAGCAGUAAAGCCGCACUAGAUUUAUACAACCACACAUUCUUGUGAAAGGAUAAACAAGCUAGCACGCAUAUACGAAGUUUUAUCCACUGCCGACAUGCUACGUAGUCGAUAAGCUUCACCUCUGCCAAGCGCAGAACAACCUAUACCAAGUCCUAAAGUGUUGUGAUACUUGCUACGCAACCUACGGAAUUGGAGAAAGUCAAGGUUAAUAGCCUAGUGGUUACGCGGACUUAUCUGCUUCUGUAAGUAAGGCAUCCGGCUGCCAACCCAAUGGCUAACAACUUUGCAAAGUUCUACACCAACACCUACGGCUACAUAGGCUACGCGAGCUUGCCUGUUUAUAAAAGUAGCAUGCUUGCCACUGGUCUAUCAAGUCUAAAGGUUAGGGCAUGAACAAAAGAAGCAAAAAUGAAGAAAAGCUAAGGAAAACAUGUUUAUAAACGACUAGCAAAGGCCGAAGGAGUUCAAGCAAAACAAGAGCUACAAGGAAAAACAAAGAAAAUCUUAAAGGUUACCUAGAUGACUACAUUUUACCAGCCUGGACAUCCCACGACUAUUCGGUCACCACACCUUCAGCAGUCGCGAAGCUCUUAGUAACGGCAUCACCCCUGACUGUUCUAGCCUGGGCACCAACUUCUCCAACUACUUCACCAAUACCAACAUGGACGCGCUGCAGCUCAUCCACUUCUUUCUUCAAACUUUCGUUCAUCUUCAGUACACCUUGAAGUUCCAACACUUGGGGUUCAAGCCUAUCAACGAUUCUCUUGAAGUGGAUCACUUGAUUAUAAGCAACAAUCAACUUUUCAUCCUUUGCAUAAGCAGCGAAAGAAGUCUUUUGGUUUUUUCUCAGCCGGCAUCUCUUGAGCAGGCAGGGAAGAUCCAUUUUCCCACCUUCACUUGCAGCAGGAUCCACAAUGGUGAUUGGACGAGCCAAUGCAUCCGCCUUGAUCCUAUUCACCUCUUAUUUUGGGAGCAUCCCACGUUUCUCCUGACGAAGAGAGUUAAAGUAGCCAAUGCCAUUCGUACUACCCAGCAGGGGAGUUCAACCCAACAUUCCAGCAGCUCAUGAGGCCCGCAACCUCUUCAUUUCUCUCAGUCACCUGCCUAGCUCGCGUCAUGUCCAAAAGCCCAAAAAGACAUGAGCCAUGUGACUCGCCUAGCACUGCGCCAUAGCGCCACAAUCCGUGGCCCUAGCCAUACAAGCUGCUAUUGGUUCUAGCCAAGUCGAGCAGCUUAAAGCAAUUAUCUCUGCCACAAUACCUCAUCGGCCCAUGCCGAGCCGACUUCUAGCCCAUGCCAGCCGACAUGCCGCACCACCCCGACGGCUGCCCCGAGGUAGCACCAUCCAUGAAGAAGACAAGGAAAAUUAAUUUUUUCUUACCUCAGUGCGGCACAAAGAAGACGAAGAAAGCAACGAAAGACGGUCCUUUGCACGGGCAAGAUGUAGAAGAUUGCUAGAGCAGGGGGAACAAAUAUCCUCUAAGCUAUCUCUCUCUUGUAGGGUAGAAUAAAUCGCUCUCCAAAGUUGAUUUAAUAACCCACUUAAGGUGGACUUAAAUAGGCUUUGAGAGAAAUUUAUUUCCCUUUCCUAGAAGGAUCUAAUUUCCUAUUAAAGAGAGAAUCUACAUCAAAAUAGGAAGCAGUCAUAAGUUUCCUAAAACAAGAAGAUCUCUACACCUGCUGCCCUUUUCUGCGAGCAGCUCAACAGGUGUGGGGGCUUUUGUGGAGCCAAAAAUAUUCACAAGGCGACACGUGGAUUUUUGGACAAAAAGGACAAAAAUACCCUUGCAGUACAACGAGGUUCCUACACGCAAACAGCGGGCAACCCUCUUUCAACCAAGACAGAAGUGCCCAAAAUAGGUAACAAUUCAAAGUCCAUCUCAUCAAAUCCUUUCUACAAGGUAAUUCCCAAACACAUUCCUUUUAAAUUAUGUUAAUUGGCUAAUUAAUGGGUUUAUUGCCUAAUUAACCCAUUAAUUGUCAAUUAAACCAUCCAUUAUAUCCAAAUAACCACAAAAUACAUCCAAUUCAACCCUAAAACACCACAUGGCCGGCUAUCCCCAUUCAAAACCUAAUCCAUCACUUUUUCUACCUUUUUUCACCAUUUCUUCCUUUUUAUUAGCCAAUUAAUUCCAUAACCAAAAAAUAUUUCCUUUUAUGUUUAAUUAGCCAAUUAAUUGGCUAAUUAAACCAAAAUAAAACCUAAACCAACCUAGCCCUAUAAAUAGGCUCAUAUUUUCACCAAAUAUUCAUUCCAACACUUUGGCAAAAAUCCCAAAAUUCUCUAAACACUCUUUCUCUCUAAAUUCUAACUUUGGCAUCGGAGGUUCUUCGGCCAAAGCCCCCCCCCCCAUUCAUCGUGGGCGCGUGAGGCUCUUGGCCUUAACCUAAGGUGUUAAUUGUUUUGUAGGUGCAAAAUUGUCCAAGAUCAUGGAGGAAGAAAUUUGCAUCCACAACCGGCUAACCUUUCAAGCAUUUGAUCAAUGAACAGCAAGGGGAAGUGGUUAUUUCUCGUGGUGGCGUUUAGCUUCCUAUAGUCAAUGCAAACUCUCCAACCGGUUUGGAUACGAGUGGGCACAAGUGUUGGAAGUAUGCCCACAAAGCCACUCAUUUGAUGUAAUAGCUUUUGGAAUACUUAUUGUAUUAAACUUUUAUAUGUUUAAUGAAGGACAAAGCUUAUUGUUAAUCACUAUUUAUUGUAUCAUGUGUUUAAGCAAUAAGAGAAUCCAAGGAAUGUAUUUGAUCUAAGAGACAAGUGAUUUAAGUAAGUUAGAUUAACGAGACCUUUCUCUUAUGUUCAUUCCUAAAACGUUCCUAGCCAUAGGAUUGCCAAUUGGGCAUUGACAAUCCGCUAAGGUUAGUAUGUGUUAUGUCGACUUAAGUGUGAGUAUGACUAGUCUCAAGUCAAUUAGUGUUGGACACUAAGACAAACACAUAGGUGCUCGAAAGAGUAAUCGAGUACACUGAACAACGAUCAAAAGAGAGUUCGAACAUACAUGUCAUGUAAGAACUCGAUAGUUGCAAUAUGCAAAGUAGUCCUUUGACCUGAGGCAUCAUAGAUGUCUAAUGGUUAGGUCCUUGAUCUUUGAUCAUUUCAAAGGAAUUCCAUUGGAGUGUCCACGGCAUUGUUGAGGUCAAGCUAUCUAGUCAUGUAGGCAUAUGAAUGCACAACAAGGGAUCUCUAACCUUCCAUGGUGGAAGGAGAAUACUCUAAGAUAUGAUUCGAGAGUCUUUGGCCAAAGCAUAUGAAUAUGACUUAGGAAGUUUGUUCCAAAUCAUAUUCAAUUGAAUCAUAUAGAGAAGUAUCACAUUGGAUAGUAGACAUGAAACAAACUAUCACUCAAACAAUGUGAUUAAGAGUAUUGUAUUAGAGAAGGACCGUAUUGCAUUGUAGUUGUAACUGGAUAGGUUCUCCAACCACUUCUACUUAGCUUGGGUAACCAUGACAUACUGCUAGGUGUCACUCAUGGUUUGUGGAAGCCCUGAAGAUUAGCAAACACUAAUCAAAGGGAGAAUUGAAAUAGUUUCAAUUCACAAUCGAUCGUUAAGAGUAACAAUCGCCCACUACCUCGCUAAAUGGAACCUAAUGGAUCAUACACCGAGUAAGGAUGAAAGUGAAGAAAUUAAAUGAAAUGGAUAUGCAAUUAAAUGGUUUAAUUGAAAAAUGGUCAAGGUUAAUUAAUUAGUUAAUUAAUUAUACGAAAUGUUCGUAUUGGGCUUUUAAGUUGGUUUUGGGCUUCGGGGCCCAAAAGUGUUUUGGUCCACAAGGCCCAUUAUGUUUAAGUUGUAUGACAACUAAAACAAAAUGGGCAAUUAGCGCAAUAACAACGGUAAGGCCGGCCAUAAGGGUGAUGGUUGCAAACUUGGAUUAAUUACAAGUUUGCCACUCACUUGAAAUGAAGUAUAAAAUCAACUUUAUAGCUUUAUUUCUCAUUAGGGUUUUUCUUGAUGAAAAGAGGUGAAACCUAUUCUCUCUUUUUCUCUAAAGAGACCGGCCACUUAGAGGGGAUUUAGCUAGCAAUCUUUUCUUCUCUAAGUCAUCCAUUUCAUCUUCACACUUCAUCCUUGGUGUGGAGACUUAGAGACAUCAAACUUUUGGUGUUUUGGAGAUCCUUUCCUCAAAUCCUCAAAGGAGCAAAGAAGCAUUAAGAGGGAGAAAAUCACAAAGAAGAUCCAAGGAGCAAGGAGGUGACUUGAAGGCCCUCCACUUGGGUGAAUCCCUUGUGUAAUCAAGGAUGAGCUUCAAGGGUAAAGAAACUCUAAAUCUUUCCUUCUCUUUAAUGUUGUUAAAGAGUUUAUUGGUUCACCAUGUAAUAGGCUUUGAAAGUCAUGGGUUUUAUGAAUUGUUUUUUAAUGUAUGCCUACUUUAAUGUGUUAAUAGUUUGCAUAUGUAUUCAAAUAUUCUCACAUGUUCUUAGCCAGGACAAAAGUUUUCCUUCAACAAGCUCAUUCUCUGCAUUCUUCACCACGGUGACUCCUGAUUUCUAUGGUACAACUUGAAUAUGUGAAACCCAACAACUAUCUGAGAUAGGGUAAAUGACUCCACAAUCAAGAAGCUUGAUAAUUUCCUUUUUCACAACUUCCAUCAUUAGAGGGUUAAGUCGACGUUGAGCCUCUCGAGUUGGUUUAGCCCCCUCCUCUAGAAGUAUGCGAUGCAUGCACAUUGGAAGGCUAAUUCCCUUAAUGUCGGCCAAUGUCCAUCCAAUUGCUGUUUUAUGCUUUUUCAACACCUGAAUCAACUUCUCCUCCUCCAAUGCCAUGAGUGAUGAGGAAACAAUGACGGGCAAUGUUUCAUCAUCUCCCAAAAAUACAUACUUUAAAUGGUCUGUCAUCAGUUUAAGCUCAAGGACGGAUGCCUGAAUCACGGAAGGUAACAACUUGUUAAUAGAAAUGGGAAUUAGAAUUGGGUUAGGAGGCUUACCGAGAUGUUGUGGCAAUGACUCAAGGGCAGCAACCAUCUCCCCUAUUUCUGCAAUAGGGGGCAUGGCAAGAGUGGAUUUAAGCCUCAUUCUUUGUGUAAUUGUUGUUUCAAGGGCAUCUUCAUUCAAGGAAUCAAGGUAGUCCUGCGCCAAAUCAUCAAAUACAUCAAUAGAGAAACAAGAAUGAUCAUCCUUAGGAUAUUUUAUAGAUUUAGAAAUAUUGAAAUUAAUAACAUCCCCAUCAAAUUCCAUUGUUAGUGUCCUUUUAAACACAUCUAUCUUGGUGCGGGCUGUUUUUAUGAAGGGUCUUCCAAGGAGGAUCGGUAAGGAUGUAGAAUGGGCCAAAUCUUCCAUCUCAAGAACAUAGAAGUCCGCUGGAAAUACUAAGUCAUUAACUUGCACCAAAACAUCUUUCAAAACACUUUUUGGGUAUGCAUUAGAACGAUCGGCUAAUUGAAUGAUAACACCAUCAUUUUUAAGCUCUUCUAGGUUCAUAGAUACAUAAAUAAAGUAUGGCAUGACGUUAAUGGAUGCACCUAAAUCUAACAUAGCAUGCUCAAACUUGGUAUUGCCAAUAACACAUGGAAUUGUAAAACUACUUAGAUCUUUGCAUUUUGGUGGUAGUUUUCUUUGCAAAACAGCUGAAACAUUCUCACUUACCUUUACAACUUAUUUGUUUGAAAUCCAUUUUCGUGUGGUAUAAAGUUCCUUCAAAAACUUCGCAUACCUUGGAACUUGUUUAAUUGCAUCAAGGAGUGGGAUAUUCACUAACACUUUCCUAAAUGUCUUAAGAAUGUCCUUCUCAUUCUCCUCCUUCUUUGAUUGCAUGAAUCUGCGUGGGAAAGGUGCAUUGGGUGGAAUAGGGUUAGAAUGGUUCAAAAUUACAUCACCCUUACCUGAAUUGGACAGUUUAGGUACACUAGGUGGCUGCGGCAAUGGGACUUCUUUCCUUAUCGUGGCUUUAUCCAUCUUUUCCUCUUCAAUCAGCAACUUUUCAUCCUCAUUUUGACUUGGUUUGGAUGUAUUUGGCUUGAUUCCCACCUCUUUUCCGCUUCUCAACGUUAUGGCUUUUACGAAUUCAAAGCAUUCAUUCGGAUUCAUAAUGGUUGAUCUAGGGAGUUUUCCUUCUUCACGAAACUGCCCCAUAAACUCAGAAAUCUGCCCUAUUUGUUUCUUCACUUCACUCAUCUCCUUAGCUUGAUUUUGUUGGCCCUGCAUAAGUGAACUUAGUAAUUGAAAAAGUGUAUCAUUAUCUAAUUUCAAACCUGAAUUUUGUUGGGCAGUUUGUGGUGGGAUUUGCGGUGGUGCAUAUGGCCUUUGAAACACUUCAGCUGGUGUUUGCCGAAAUCCCCCUUGUUGGGCAGGUUAUUGUGGCUCUCUUCAUUUCAAAUUUGGAUGAUCUCUCCACCCCGGAUUGUAAGUGUUAGAGUAUGGAUCGUUUUGUGACUGAUUUUGGCUCCCAAAACCCACGGCAUUGGCAGAUUCCCACCCUCCAUUCUCAAUCAAUUGAGGGCAUUGGUCAUUAAGAUGUCCUUGCAUAAAACACACGCCACAAACACUUGGUCCUUAUAUCUUCAUCCCUUCAGCCAUCUGAGAUAUAAAAGAAGUGAGGUUAGUUAAUUGUGAUUGAAUGUCGGACAUAGAACUUACCUCAUUGACUUGCUGCCGUAGAGGGUCUCUUUGUCCAAGUCCUUCGUAUUGUUAUGCAUUUAACCCUCGGUUAGCAAUGAGGGUCUUUGCAGCCAUUGGUGUUUUGUCAACCAAUGCACCUCCCGCUGAAGCAUCUAGCAUUUGUCGCUCAAUUGGAAAAAGUCCUUCGUAAAAGUAUUGAAGUAGAAGUUCUUUUUCAUUUGGUGCUGAGGACAUAAGGCGACAAGAGCCUUAAAACGCUCAUAGUAUGCUCGAAAUGACUCUCAUUGGCUUUGUUGAAUGCCACUAAUCUUCUUCCUUAAGAGAAUGACUCUUGAAGUGGGGAAGAACUUCUCUAAAAACGCCCUCUUCAUGCUUUCCCAAAAAGUGACCAUUCCGGGUGCUAAUUCAUAAAGCCAAUCUUUAGCCUUUUCCACAAGAGAGAAUGGAAAGGCCUUCAUCAUCAAAAUGUUCCCAUCGACAUUGAUGGGUGUCAUGCUCGAACAAACCACUUCGAACUCCUUAAGAUGCUUAUUUGGAUCUUCCAUGGAUAGCCCAUGGUAUUUGGGAAUGUGAUGCAACAAGCUUGACUUCAAUUCGAACUCGUUGGUUUUACCUUGAGCAGCUAAGGGGUAUUGAAUGCAAAGGGGUGUGGCAUUGGCCAACCCCGAGGCUGAAAGUUCUUUUAUUGUACGAUUGUCCGCUGCCAUGACUUAUUCUUCUUCUCCAAAUUCAGAUUCGGCCUCUGAACUUGAACUAGGUGGAUUAGGUUCUGGUUGCUUCCUCUUUCGUCUCAAAGUUCUUUCAAAAUUGUUGUCGAACUCCAAAGAUGUUUGCACUAAUGUGUUGAGAACUACGAGUCAUAAACUAGUACCUGAAACGAGGAAACAAACACAAUCAGCAAUUAGGUGGAAGGCACGGCACAAAUGUAUAAACACACAGAAACAUACAGACACAAAUUAAAACACUAAUUAAAACACAAAGAUACGAAAUUAAACAAGGGAUUAGCAAGUUUCCUAUUCCCCGGCAACAGCGCCAAAAUUUGAUGUGAAAAUUACUUGACACACAAAUUAAACCCUAUUGAUGACAAUUGUAGCAAAGAUGUAAGUAGGGAUCGUUCUAAACUGGGGAUUAACUAGGGCUGCUAAUCUACUCAAAUUAAACUCUAAAACACUAAACUAGACUUAAAAACACAAGAAUAGACUCUAAACUGACCUAAGACACUCAAAUAUGCAAAACUAAGUAAAAAAAACUCAAUUCUAAACAUAACAAGUGAUUUAGACGAAAAUAAAACUCAAUUUUGACUCAAAAGACUAAAGAAAAACAGAUUAUGACUCAACUAACCCAAAACACACUUAAAAGACUCAAAACAGCAUAAUACUAACAAUUAGACUCAAAACAGACUCUAGGGAAUAAAUUGGACGAAUUUUAAGACUAAAUUUGGACUCAAACAACGUUUAUGGACUAACUCUAACCUAUAUUGACUCAAAACACUCUAAAGAACCUAAUUAGGACAGAUUCUGACCUAAAAACACAAAAUAGAAAAAAGGGUUUGGUUUUUGACAAAAUUGAAUUAAAACUAAACAAAUUGCAAAACAAAGUAAACUAUAACGAAAUUGAGAUGAAUUCAAGGGUGAAAGGCUAGUUAGAGGAUCAUUCUCCACACAUGAACAUAUGCAACAUAAAUCGAUUUCCAGUAUUGUUUCUUUAAACCGUGAAUCACAAUGCCCCAAAUUAAUCAUGAAUGCACAAAUUAACUCUCAGAUUUCCCUAGAUUCAUUGAAUUGGAUGAAUGCAUGCGACAACCCAAAUUAUUCUUCUCAAGUUCCCUAUACGAACAGCAUGAUAGAGAUACAUUCAAAUAUCAUUAAGUUCCAUAGAAAUCAUAAGCAUUGACAAGGAAAUUAUAACUAUGAACUGCAUGAUACUCUUGCCAAGAAUCUACUUAACACGAUUGUGACUAACAAUCUCCACUACUUGUAAUUAUGAGUUCCUAACAAUUAGGUGAAAGUCCCUUAUAAUUUAGCAUCAGAUUCAUGCAUGCAAACUAAGUAGGCCUCCUUAAUCAACACACAAGAAUAAGUUAUCAAUCAAAUAGAUAAGUAAAUCGCAUUCAUGUUUAUGAAACAAUAACUGAAAGGAAUCAAUUCAUAUUCAAGAUAUGUCUAUGGCUUCGAAUUCACCACUAACUAAUAAGAAUUUAGUUACACAUGUUCAUAGCAAUUGAAAAGCAAAUUGAAAUAAACAUUGAAACUGAAACAAGGGAAGAAAGAACUCUUAGAACUCCCAAGGAUGCAGAUGGCUUGUGCAUAAGGUCCUCCUUCAUUAAUGAAAUGCACGGCAAUGAUCUCCUUCUUCUACAAAAGGUGCGGCAGAGAUAUAUGUUGAUGUAGGAUGAUGUAGAAUGGCGUAGAAUGAUGUAUAUGGUGCGGCAAAGUGUAUUUCUGAAUGUAUGAAGGGUAGUGACGAAUUUGUGCUGAAAACAUGUAUAUAUAGGCUUGGCAAAACCCUAGGGUGAAUCAGAUUUGGGUUAGAAAUUAGCAGACUAAGAGAAUUAGGGCCCUAGGGUUCGGAACAAUUAAUGAAAUCCACUAAGGAAAGGGUUUGGCCCAAUUAAUUUUAGAAAAGGAUUUGUAUAACCCAAAUCCACAAGGAGUAAGGCUAAUAUAAUCAGAAUCCAAGGGGAAUUAGGUGAAGAAUGGUGCGGCACAGAUUGGAGGGAGUGGGAAUUGCUUGCAAGGCAAGGCAAAAUCCUUCUAGAAAGGAAAUAGCCGCCACUUUUGUAGGGAUUCUAGAAACAAUGUGUUUUGUGGCUGAUUUGGGACUUCUAAAAGGGAAUGCUUCUAGAAAUAGGUUCUAGAAAUAUAUAUUUAGGUCCCUUUGCGGCAAGGAUUAAGGCAUGAUAAGAUUAGGAUAGGAUAAGGUAAGAUAAGGUUAGUUUGGAUAAGAUAAGGUUGGAUAAGGUUGUGGAUAAUGUUUCCUCUUUUGAGCUGAUUCCUUAUCUUCUUUGUCUUGAAUUUAAUUUCUUCAUCUCCUUAUCAGAUUCCUAGCCUUUUGAACUCCAAAUUCGUCCAUCCAUCUUGGCCCAUACAUGUGUUAUCCAUUUAGUGCCCAAAACUGCUCCAAAAUGCUCCAAAAUGCACUUUCUUGCCAACUUUGUCAUUUGGACCUACAAACACACAAAAAUAGCUUAAAACACUAUAAUAACCACAAACUAACUUUAAAAGUUCAAGAAAACAAGCUAACUAAGUCGCAUAAAUGUGCUCUUAUCAAUUAUUUAUAGUAAUAAAAGAGAAAAGAAAUCAUUAUCCUCCAAAGAAUACAAGUCCUAAUAGGGAAGAAUAACUAGAAUCAAAUCUAAUCUAGGAUUUACACGAUCACACUUAGGUAAGAAGUUUAUAACACUCCCCCUUAAGUGUGUAAAUACUCAAGUAGAUUUGGCAUCAUGUAGUGGUUGAGGAAGUCGACUCGUCGGCACUGAUUCUAGGAAUACGCUAUUCUCAAAUAAGGUAGGAACUUACCUAAGAAAGUCAACUCGUCAACAUUCAUUUUGGGAACACGCUAUUCUCAAAUAAGGUAGGAACUUACAUAAGGAAGUAAGUCUCACAAAAAACCUUAAAGCUGUGGCAAAAACCUAAGUAGGGACAAAAUCCAUAGUCUAAGGAAAAAUGCGUGAGAAAUGCAAAGUCAAAUGAAACGUCUACGGGACAUCAUCAGGGAUAUGAUCAAUCCAAGGUGGGUGCAAAACUCAUUAGGUAGCAAAAACCCAGUAGGAAAAAUGCUCUUCAUCGUACAAAAAAAGAGUACAUUAAGAUCAAGCAAGUAUACUUCAGGAUACUUCCCCUGAGUUUGACACAAUUCCACAGAGAAUUAGCAAUGUUAUAACUCAGAAAGUUUACGCAUACCAAUUCCUUGAACAAGCUUCUGAAACAUUGCCUUCUGUAGUGAUUUGGUCAAGAGGUCUGCCAGGUUGACUUGUGAAUGCAUUUGCAUGACUUCAAUCUUCUGAUGCUCUUAUUGUUAAUGUGAGAAGAAGAACUUCGGCACAAUAUGCUUGGUGUUAUCUCCUUUGAUGUAACCCUUCUUGAGAUGUUUAAUAUAUGUUACGUUGUCCUCAUAGAUAGUCAUUGGGACAUCAAUGAUGGAGUAAAGAUCGCAAAAGUUUUCAAUAUCACCCACAACAGCUCUCAACCAAAAGCAUUCCUGAGUUGUUUCGUGUAAGGUGAGAAUUUCAACAUGGUUGACGAAGUGGUAACUAAGGUUUGUUUAGUUGACCUCCAAGAGAUUACGGUGCCUCCAAUGGUAAAAACAUAACCUAUUUGAGAACGUGCCUUGUGCGGAUCAGAUAAGUAUCCUGAUUCGGCAUAACCAACAAGGCGAGAAUCAACUUGAGAUAAGAGGUGCGGCAUCACUCGAGGAUUUGUAAGGAUAGAAUAAGCCCAAAUCCAUAGUACCCUCAAGGUAGUGGAAAAUGUCUUUAACACAUGUCUAGUGUCUACGUGUUGAUACAUUAUUGUAUCUUGCUAAAAGAUUAAUAGUGAAGGAGAUGUCGGUCUAUUGCAUUGAGCUAAGUACAAUAAAGCACCUAUCAUACUUAGAUAAGGAACUUCAGGCUCUAAAAUCUCUUCAUCAUCCUCAUUCGGCAGGAAGGGAUUUCGUUUUGCAUCUAGCAAUCGAACAGCCAUAUGAGUACUUAAAGGCUUUGCUUUAUCCUCGUUAAAGCAGGGCAACACCUUCUGGCUGUAGUUCGAUUGAUGUACUAAGAUUCCAUCCAAAUUGUGCUCUAUCUCGAGACAGAAAUAGCAUCAAGUCUUUCCUAGAUCUUUCAUCUCAAAUUCCGACUUUAGGAGUGCAUCAAUUCUAGUGAACUCUUCUGAAGUUCCGAUAAAGUUCAUAUCAUCGACAUAAACUGCAACUAUCGCAAAACUGGAAUGUGACUUCUUAAUGAACACACAAGGGCAUAGUUUGUUGUUUACAUAUCCCUGACUAGUCAAAUACUCACUUAGACGGUUAUACCACAUUCUUUCAAAUUGCUUCAAACCGUAAAGUGAACACCUCAGCCGAAUUGAGAGCGUGUUUCAGGGUUAUGGUAAUAUUUGAUCCAGUCAAUGU
rnacentral:lncRNA from 1 species